UGCCCCAUAGUCUGGGAUACCACUUGGAAACAGGUGCUAAUACCGGAUAAGAAAGCGGAUCGCAUGAUCAGCUUUUAAAAGGCGGCGUAAGCUGUCGCUAUGGGAUGGCCCCGCGGUGCAUUAGCUAGUUGGUAAGGUAAAGGCUUACCAAGGCGAUGAUGCAUAGCCGAGUUGAGAGACUGAUCGGCCACAUUGGGACUGAGACACGGCCCAAACUCCUACGGGAGGCAGCAGAU
rnacentral:rRNA from 1 species